rnacentral:rRNA from 1 species
CGGGGGGCGGCCGGGGGAUUUUUG